UCCCUGGUAGCUCAGAGGUUAAAGUGUCUGCCUGCAACACAGGAGACCAGGGUUCGAACCCUGAGUUGGGAA
rnacentral:tRNA from 1 species